rnacentral:rRNA from 1 species
GGGUGCGAUCAUACCAGCGUUAAUGCACCGGAUCCCAUCAGAACUCCGCAGUUAAGAGCGCUUGGGCUAGAGUAGUACUAGGAUGGGUGACCUCCCGUGAAGUGCUAGUGUUGCAUCCU